rnacentral:rRNA from 1 species
UGGGGAAUCUUCCGCAAUGGACGAAAGUCUGACGGAGCAAUGCCGCGUGAGUGAAGACGGCCUUCGGGUUGUAAAGCUCUGUGAUCCGGGACGAAAGAGCCUGAGGUAAAUAGCCUAAGGAAGUGACGGUACCGGAAAAGCAAUCCACGGCUAACUACGUGCCAGCAGCCGCGGUAAUACGUAGGUGGCAAGCGUUGUCCGGAAUUAUUGGGCGUAAAGCGCGCGCAGGCGGCUUCCUAAGUCCAUCUUAAAAGUGCGGGGCUUAACCCCGAGAUGGGAUGGAAACUGGGAAGCUGGAGUAUCGGAGAGGAAAGUGGAAUUCCUAGUGUAGCGGUGAAAUGCGUAGAGAUUAGGAAGAACACCGGUGGCGAAGGCGACUUUCUGGACGAAAACUGACGCUGAGGCGCGAAAGCGUGGGGAGCAAACAGG